rnacentral:rRNA from 1 species
AAAAACAUGGCCUUUUGAUUUUAAUUUAAGGUYUGACCUGCCCACUGAAAAUUAAAGGGCCGCGGUAUUUUGACCGUGCUAAGGUAGCAUAAUCAUUAGUUUUUUAAUUGAAAGCUGGUAUGAAUGGUUGAAUGAGAAAAUGACUGUCUUUUUUUAAAUUUUAUUGAAUUUUAUUUUUAAGUUAAAAAGCUUAAAUAAUUUUAAAAGACGAGAAGACCCUAUAGAGUUUAAUUUAAUAAUUUGUAAAAUUUUUUAGAAUUUAUAUUUUUUAAUAAAAUAUUAAAUUUAAUUGGGGUGAUUGAAAAAUUAAAUAAACUUUUUUUAAAAAAAAAAUCAUAGAUUUAUGUUUAUUUGAUCCAUUGAGUAUGAUUAUAAGAAUAAAUUACCUUAGGGAUAACAGCGUAAUUUUUUUUAAGAGUUCAUAUUAAAAAAAAAGAUUGCGACCUCGAUGUUGGAUUAAAAUUAAUUUUUGGUGAAGAAGCUAAAAUAUUAAGUCUGUUCGACUUUUAAAAUUUUACGUGAUCUGAGUU